AGAGUUUGAUCCUGGCUCAGGAUGAACGCUGGCGGCGUGCCUAAUACAUGCAAGUCGAACGAGGUGCUUUGUAGCAAUACGAGAGUAUCCUAGUGGCGAACGGGUGAGUAACGCGUUGGUGACUACCCCAAAGUGUGGGAUAACAGUCCGAAAGGAUUGCUAAUACCGCAUGUGGUCUUCGGGUUUAGAAACUGAUGACUAAAGGAGCAAUUCGCUUUGGGAGGGACCUGCGUCCCAUCAGCUAGUUGGUGAGGUAAUGGCUCACCAAGGCUACGACGGGUAGGGGACCUGAGAGGGUGACCCCCCACAAUGGAACUGAAACACGGUCCAUACACCUACGGGUGGCAGCAGUAGGGAAUAUUGCACAAUGGGCGAAAGCCUGAUGCAGCAACGCCGCGUGUGCGAUGAAGGCCUUCGGGUCGUAAAGCACUUUUCUGGGAGAUGAGCAAGGACAGUAUCUCAGGAAUAAGUCUCGGCUAACUACGUG
rnacentral:rRNA from 1 species